rnacentral:tRNA from 1 species
GCCUGGGUGGCUCAGUCGGUUAAGCACCUGACUUCGGCUCAGGUCAUAAUCUCUCGGUUCGUGGGUUUGAGCCCUGCAUUGGGCU